UACGGAGGGUGCGAGCGUUGUCCGGAAUCACUGGGCGUAAAGGGCGCGUAGGUGGCGCGGGUAGUCAUCGGUGAAAGCUCAGGGCUCAACCCUGAGUCGGCCGGUGAUACUCCCGUGCUUGAGUGUGGUAGAGGCCAAUGGAAUUCCGGGUGUAGCGGUGGAAUGCGUAGAGAUCCGGAAGAACACCGGUGGCGAAGGCGGUUCUCUGGGCCUUACCUGACGCUGAGGAGCGAAAGCGUGGGGAG
rnacentral:rRNA from 1 species